rnacentral:lncRNA from 10 species
CCGAGCCACCCCGCCAGUCCCUGCUUACCGCAGAGGUGCAUCCGGGCCAAGCCCUGCCCUCCAACGCUGUGGCAACCCCCCAGGCCCUGCCCUUCGCGGCCGCACAGCAAGGUCAAGCCCUGCUCGUCACAGCACCAGCAUGACGCCAGGCACUGCCCUCCGGAGCCGUUCCACCCAGCGAAGAUCAGCCCUUCUCAGCCGCCGCUCUCAGCUUGGGCCAGCUGAUGAGAACACGCUUUCCCAUGGGGCUGGCUUAGGACAGCUGGCCUUUCAGAGCAGCUCAGGCUCUUCUGAUCCUGAGGUCCCAAGAAGUGCUUCCCCGCCUGGUUGGCAUGCAGUCCGUAUGCAUGCCUCCUCACCCUCUCCACCUGGGAGGUUCUUCCUUCCCAUCCAUCAGCAAUGAGAGCUCCUCCUCCUCUGGUGCUUCCAGCUCCUCCUCCCAUCUAAGUUUUCUGAGCAGAGUUCCUCUUCCUCUUCCCCUAGGAUUUUGGGCCUGAGAUCUAUCUCCACUCUUAGCCCUGAUAGCCUUAGGCGUGCCUUGAUGCCAGAGCUUUAUGUUCCGAGCCCUGCCCCUCCAGGAGAGUAGGCCGAAAGAGAAAACAGCGCACCCCACUACACCACCUGAGCUGUGA